rnacentral:rRNA from 1 species
UGGAGGGCAAGUCUGGUGCCAGCAGCCGCGGUAAUUCCAGCUCCAAUAGCGUAUAUUAAAGUUGUUGCAGUUAAAAAGCUCGUAGUUGAUUUUCUGUUAAUUUUUAUGUAUAAUAUUGCGAUAUUUACAUAAUAUUAACAUAAUUCACAUUACUUUACAGUAUGUGGAAUUUUACUUUGAGAAAAUUAGAGUGCUUAAAGCAGGCUAUUGCCUUGAAUACUCCAGCAUGGAAUAAUAUUAAGGAUUUUUAUUCUUCUUAUUGGUUCUAGAAUAAAAAUAAUGAUUAAUAGGAACAGUUGGGGGCAUUUGUAUUUAACAGUUAGAGGUGAAAUUCUUAGAUUUGUUAAAGACAAACUACUGCGAAAGCAUUUGCCAAGGAUGUUUUCAUUAAUCAAGAACGAAAGUUAGGGGAUCGAAGACGAUCAGAUACCGUCGUAGUCUUAACCAUAAACUAUGCCAACUAGAGAUUGGAGGUUGUUCCUUACUCCUUCAGCACCUUAA